ACAAGUCUGAAAUAUUGAAAAGUUCAAAGCAAUUUCAGAGUGAAGAUCGUCGUGACGAGAGGAUAAACUGUCUACAAUAUGAUCAUAGAGAUGAAUAUCUGAGUUACGAGUUUUUGGUACGCAGUUAAGACAAAGUGAAAAUUGUUUCGCAGUUCAUGCCACCUGGAACAUCAUAGUGUGAUGAUGUGUCUAAACGUCA
rnacentral:lncRNA from 1 species